GGGAGGCAGCAGUGAGGAAUUUUGCGCAAUGGGCUAACGCCUGACGCAGCAACGCCGCGUGGAGGAUGAAGGUCUUUGGAUUGUAAACUCCUGUCAGCAGGGAAAAAGCGAAUCGGCCUAACACGCCGGUGAGUUGAUUGUACCUGCAGAGGAAGCCCCGGCUAACUCUGUGCCAGCAGCCGCGGUAAUACAGAGGGGGCAAGCGUUAUUCGGAAUUAUUGGGCGUAAAGGGCGCGUAGGCGGCUUGGCAAGUGGAUGGUGAAAUCCCUCGGCUUAACCGAGGAACUGCCAUCCAGACUGCUUUGCUUGAGGCCGGGAGAGGCGAGUGGAAUUCCCAGUGUAGCGGUGAAAUGCGUAGAUAUUGGGAGGAACACCAGUGGCGAAGGCGGCUCGCUGGACCGGUUCUGACGCUGAGGCGCGAAAGCGUGGGGAGCAAACGGGAUUAGAAACCCGAGUAGUCCU
rnacentral:rRNA from 1 species